rnacentral:rRNA from 1 species
UACGUAGGGUGCAAGCGUUGUUCGGAAUUAUUGGGCGUAAAGCGUGUGUAGGCGGCUACCUAAGUCUGAUGUGAAAGCCCGGGGCUUAACCCCGGAAGUGCAUUGGAUACUGAGUAGCUAGAGGACGAGAGAGGAAGGUGGAAUUCCAGGUGUAGGGGUGAAAUCCGUAGAUAUCUGGAGGAACAUCAGAGGCGAAGGCGGCCUUCUGGCUCGUUUCUGACGCUGAGACACGAAAGCGUGGGGAGCAAACAGG